CCAAAUUUUGAAUUUUGCUUAAAAUACAUGAUUUUGAUUCAAAAUUGAAUGAAAAUCACGGAAAUCAAGUUUAUUUUUCCAUUGGUCCUAUAGUUUUUCAACUAAACUUAAAAAACAGAGUUGGUGCUCUAACAGCACUUUAUUUUCGUUUAUUUAAAAAAUGGCUGGUUUAACGAGAAAACCAUAACGUAAUCGAAAUCAGUGUUCAAUUUUGAUAACAUUGUGUGAUGUGGCCUUUUUCUCCAAGGUUUAUCGGGAACUUUGGUAGUCGUUGAGUCCUUCUUUCAUCAAGAGUAAUGCGUAUUUUUAGGCGCAAUCUAAGGUCUAAGGCCGAAACAUUCCUAUUGAAUACCCUAGAAUGCAACAAUUGGGUAAGGACAUCUGGCGGAUGAAUUUCAGACUAACUGAAUUUUGACAUCCAUUAAAAUGAUACAGGAUGGGGUGUGUGACUGUGUGUCCAAGUAACAAGUAACCCUUAAGUUUGUUUUCUUAGCUAAUUUUUGUGUUCCCAUCGAUAAUUCAGCUAUUGACUAUGGGUGUGUUAUUUACGAUCUAGUAAGUUCAGUGUUACGUGUCUGUUGGAGAAAGAACACUUCAAAGGGAUUGUUUUUUUUUCUGUCUCACAGUUUCCCUUGUCAUCAGAUAGGCAAGGUGUUGAACCACGAAAUUGUUAGCAGCCCAGGAUGAAACUAUUUCAAACUAAAAGCACUAAGGAUGUGGACGCUGGAAGAAUUGUGAGCAUCUUAGGUCUGUCAAUUUUCAUCAUAUGAUGAUGGCAAUGCCAUUGUUCAGUGAGAGGAUUCAUAUUCUACCCAGCAAUCUACCCAUAAGCUUCAACGCUAUCAUCUUAUUAGGGCUGCCAGCCUUCGUCUUUGUUUCUACGCAAACCGCCGUCCAGACGAUUUCCGCAUUUCUAUCCAUCAGACUGCACGCAUUAAGUAA